rnacentral:rRNA from 1 species
ACUCAUGGGAGACUGCCGGGGGUCAACUCGGAGGAAGGUGGGGGAUGACGUCAAAUCAUCAUGCCCCUUAUGUCUUGGGCUUCACGCAUGCGUACAAUGGCCGGUACAAAGGGCUGCGAUACCGCGAGGUGGAGCGAAUCCCAGAAAGCCGGUCUCAGUUCGGAUUGGGGUCUGCAACCCGACCCCAUGAAGUCGGAGUCGCUAGUAAUGGCAGGUCAGCAUACUGCCGUGAAUACGUUCCCGGGCCUU